AUUGAACGCUGGCGGCAGGCUUAACACAUGCAAGUCGAGCGGAGCGAGGGUGCUUGCACCUUAGCUUAGCGGCGGACGGGUGAGUAAUGCUUAGGAAUCUGCCUAUUAGUGGGGGACAACAUUCCGAAAGGAAUGCUAAUACCGCAUACGCCCUACGGGGGAAAGCAGGGGAUCUUCGGACCUUGCGCUAAUAGAUGAGCCUAAGUCGGAUUAGCUAGUUGGUGGGGUAAAGGCCUACCAAGGCGACGACCUGUAGCGGGUCUGAGAGGAUGAUCCGCCACACUGGGACUGAGACACGGCCCAGACUCCUACGGGAGGCAGCAGUGGGGAAUAUUGGACAAUGGGCGGAAGCCUGAUCCAGCCAUGCCGCGUGUGUGAAGAAGGCCUUUUGGUUGUAAAGCACUUUAAGCGAGGAGGAGGCUACUAGUACUAAUACUACUGGAUAGUGGACGUUACCCGCAGAAUAAGCACCGGCUAACUCUGUGCCAGCAGCCGCAGUAACAC
rnacentral:rRNA from 1 species